CAGAAUAAAAUUGAUUGCUCCCCCGCAGGCUGCAGCCCGUCGUAACCCUAACCCUCUGGAUCCCGCUCGUGGCUUGCCCGCCGCUCUCCAAUCUCCACUCGUACUUCACACCCAUCCUCUGAUGGAUCCUCGCUAGCCCCUUCCUCGUUGACGGCAUGGUUGUGUGGUAGCCAUAUGGCGUGGGAUGUGGCGGCGGCGGCGGCGGCGGCGGCUCAUCUGGAUGUAGCACCAGCACAGGCGGCAAUAGUGUCGCUGGAUGCUGAGAAGCGGUGGCGACGUUGGAUGUGGCACCCGUGGGCGGCGAUGGUGGAGCUAGAUGCGGCAACAGCGUGGGAGGCAGCACAAGCCCGGUGACCCACGUCGACUUCCCCAACAGCUUUGCCUUUGCCGUCACCACAUCAUACCUCUGCAUACCAGGUUGGUUACCGACUGCUGCCACCAUCCCCAUCUCAUCUCAUCUCAUCUCAUCUCACGUGUUCCCGCAUUUUAAAACUGGUACUUGUCUAUCAGUAUUCAAUCAUAUUUAGUUCUAUACAUAAAUGUUUAUUUCAAAAUAGCUACUAAAGUUUUAUGACCAAUUCAUACCUUUACAAUCGGACAGUGAGUUAUGCUCUAGCCAAAAAAUAAUUAACUGACACAAAUUGCCUAGAUAUGGAAAACAUGCAGCAAUAUAUUGAUUCAUCAGGGACAGCGAUAAAAAUGGUUUGGUAAAUAUAUGGUUUCUAUUAGGAUUUUGUGUAGUCGUAUUGCAACAUUUCUGCCUGCAUAUGUAGUUCUGCAUUAGUAAAGUCUAGUGUCAGUAUGACAGUAUCAAUUUCAUAUGCUGUUUAAUGCCUGGUGACAGACAUUCCACCAUUUGAGCUCUUGUUUCCAUUGUGACAUCAUGACGGCUUUUGAGCCAAAAAUGUAUAUACCUGUAUAUUAAAUUUGAUUUGGAUUUCUCUACAGACUACAUGUGUUUCCAUGUUAUAAUAAUUCGCCUGUCUGCUUAGUUAGCACUUUGCUUUACCUCAAGUCAUAAUUUGCCUGUCUGCAUAGUUAGCACUUUGCAUAAUUUGCUUGCCUGCAUAGUGCAUAGUGAGUCGGCUCUUCACAACUAUUGGUAAGCUAUUUUAUUAGUGUCACAGCUUGCAUGCAGUUACUUUAUGAAGCCCAAACAUUGUUCCUAGCAGCGUGUUUGUACUUGUUAAUACUUUAAUUCUUUUCUCAGUUUGUUUGCGUCACUUCUUACAGUAGCUAGAAAGUGGUUCCUCAAUUUCAUUUGAUAUGAUCAUAAUAUUGUUAUUGUAGCCAUUUCAAGGUUGGUUUAGUUUGAUGAUAUUAACUGAGCUAACUCUUGAUUUCAAUCACGUAACCUUUCGAGUGUCAUUUCUAUUCUCUUCUUUAUCUAUGAGCUAGAACUAAUAGAAUGCAUGUGUGCAGGGGCAGGCCCAGGCCUAGGGCCAGUAGGGCCAUGGCCCUAGUCGUGGACCAAAAAUUUUAGGAGCAACUGUUUAUUUUUUUGGCCCAAGAAAGAAGCCCACGAGAAGACUAGCGCACAGACCACAGAGAAGUCGCAACGCUCACCCUCGCGUCGUCCCCUUCCCUCACGUAGUCACGCGGUCGCGCCGUCCUCGGCCCUUGCUCGCACGCGAAGGCGAAGUCCGCUGUGGCCAGGGGCGCCGUCGCCCGUCUGCCGUCCGCCCGUCCCCUCCCCUCGCAGUCGUAGGAAGGCAAGGCACUAGGGCCGACCGGCGACCGCGGCCGUCCGCUUGUCCCCUGCCGGCCUGCUUGGCUGCCCGCCGGCCGCCGUCCCGGGCUGGGCCUGCUCGCCCCUCGCCCUCGCCCAGAGGCUGUCCGCGACACAGCUCGGAGGCAGGGGCCGGACCUGGUCGGAGCCGAGCCAGAAGCCCCCUGCUCCCUGUCCGGCUGUUUCCCUGCUGACCUGCGUGGCUGCCGCCUGCCAACGCCCAGGGGAGCUGAAGCCCUCUUGUCCAGAAGCGUGGUCGUGAACGUGGAGUGAAGCUAAGGUAUUCACUCAAAUUUUGAGGAGUUCAGUUCUUUUCUCUUGAUUUCAACUGUUAAUUGUGUAUUUUUAUUUUAUUGUAAUUAGUCUUUUAGACGAAGAGGACAAGGAAUAUUGCAUCAUAUUUCUCCCGAGUUUGUGAACAAGAACAACGAAUCAUCCAAUCUCCACUGCUGCCAGAUCCAGAGCAAGAACAACGAAUCAUCCAUUCUUCACUAGACAAUAGGUAUUUAUUUUUUAAUGUUCAUUGAUAUUACAUAGCUACUGUAUUGUAGUAUUAAUUAUAUAGUUCAAGAAUUUCUUGGAUUUGCAAACUUUGCUUGAGAAUUUCUAUUUUCCUGUAACAUAUAUGUAUAUAUAUAGUUGUCAAGGGCCUGGCGAUCAAGGGUAGGCGGCCCUCGGCUACGAAGAUCGUAGCCUCCUACCGUUCUUCCGAUCCGGAGGUUAUACCCCUCACAGUCGACCGGGCUUGAGAGGUUUAGGGAGAGAGAGAGAGUUUAGAUAAAUGAUCUUGCUUGCUUUAUUCCCAAAGUCCUUCUCUCAUACAUAUAGCCCAUUGGCUGAGAUUAGAAGGAAAGCAACUAAUCCUUUCCUAUAAUCUAGGAUCUAAUCAAAUCUCCCAACCAAUCUUUCCUAACCAAUCUUUCCUAACUCAGCCUAGCCCCUGGCCGUGGCCUGGCCGUCGCGCGUGUCGAGCUGGGCGCGCUCUGCGCGCUCCUCAGCCCUUCUCAUGUCACGGCUGCGCCUGCGGCGUACAUAAGAUUGGCCCCACAUGACAUCUCUCACCCCCUCGAGACCCAGCUUGUCCCCGAGCUGAAAUUCUGGAUAAGAGACGCGGAAGUCGUCGAGGUCCUCCCAUGAAGCUGAAGACUCUGGUUCGCCGCGCCAGUAGACCAAGACUUGAGUGAUGCCACGGACCUUGCGAGCUUGAGUGACACAUUCAGGUGCCGGCACAACAGCGCCAUGUCGGAUGUCCGGCAAAGGAGGCGGGGUGGACGGGGGAGGCCCAUGGAACUUCUUGAGGGUCCCGAUGUGGAACACGUCGUGGAUGCGGGCCUGCGGGGGAAGCUCAAGCCGCACAGCCACUUCAUUGAUCUUCUGGACGAUGCGGUACGGACCCAAGUAGCGAGCCUUCAGUUUGCCUGCCGAGUGCGGCAAAGAUGCCACUGGUUGCUGACGGAAACGCAGCAGGACCCAAUCACCCACCGCAUAGGAGACAUGGCGGUGAUGACGGUCGUAGUGCAGCUUCUGCACUGCCUGGGCCUGUUCCAGACGAUGGCGCACCUCCGUGAGGAACUCCGUGCGUUCCUCCAUGUCUCGUGCCACGGCUGCGACUCUGGUGUCGCCGGGCUCAUAAGAGCGUAUAGUCGGGGGGUCGCGACCGUAGACCACGCGGAACGGCGUCUCCUGGAGUGAAGCUUGGUAGGCCGUGUUGUAGACAUACUCCGCCCAAGGCAGCCACCGGAGCCACUGGCGAGGGCGGUCCCCCGUAAAGCAACGGAGAUACAUAACGAUGACGCAGUUGGCCGCCUCGGAUUGGCCGUCCGACUGAGGGUGGAAGGCGGAGGUCAUAUGCAGCUUGGAGCCCAUCAGGCGCAUGAGCUCACGCCAAAAGGCCGACGUGAACACAGGAUCCCGGUCGGAGACGAUGGACUGUGGUAUGCCGUGUAGACGGAUGAUGUUGGUGAAGAACGCCUGGGCCACGAACUCAGCAGUGUACAGAUGGCCAAGCGCGAUGAAGUGGCCAUACUUACUGAAGUGAUCGACGACGGAGAGGAUGACCGACUUCCCUUCGACUCGCGGCAACGCCUCGAUGAAGUCCAUGCCGAUAUCAGCCCAAACUGCGGAUGGUAUCGGAAGUGGCUGCAGGAGUCCCGCCGGUAACAGGUGCUCUGACUUAAAGCGUUGACAGGUGGCGCAGCCCCGCACAAAGUCCUGCACGAUGCGGCGCAUGUGGGGAAAGUGGAAGUCGCGGUGCAGCCGAUGCCAUGUACGCUGCACACCCUCGUGUCCAUCAUCAUGGACUGCGGCCACAAUUUCCUGGAGCAGGGGCGAAGAGGGCGGGAUGUAGAGGCGCCCGUCAAAGAGCACCAUGUCGUCCUUGACCGUCCAGGGCGCGGUUCUGGACCCUGCUCGGAUUUCGUCGUGAAUGGCGGCCAAGGCUGGGUCGACGGCCUGUGCGUGACGGAGGCGGCUGAUGAAGUCGAAGCGCGGAGCUGAGAUGGAGCAGAGGCCGCCCAUGCUGUCCUCCUCAGCAUCCCGGCGUGAGAGAGCGUCGGCCACCACAUUGGUCGCCCCGGACUUGUACUCCACCGCGAAAUUGAAGCCGAGCAACUUGCCGACCCAGUGAUGCUGGGGUAUGGUGGCCAGGCGUUGGUCCAAAAGAAAUUUGAGACUGUGAUGAUCAGUCUUGACGGUGAAGUGGCGCCCCCAUAAAUAUGGCCGCCAGUGGCGCACGGCAAGCACGAGGCCAAUAAGCUCCCGCUCGUAUGCCGCGAGGGAGCGAUGCCUGGGUGCCACCGGCCUGCUGAAGAAGGCGAUCGGGUGACCAUCUUGGAGAAGCACGGCGCCGAAACCAUAUGUCGACGCGUCGCACUCCACGACGAACGGUCUGGCAAAGUCGGGGAGGGCCAAGAUCGGCGCCGUGGUGAUCGCGGUCUUGAGGUUGCUGAACGACGCCUCAGCCGUAGUACUCCAGGUGAAGCCGUCCUUCAAGAGCGCCGUGAGGGGCGCGGCGAUGGAGCCGUAGUUGUGGACGAAUUUCCGAUAGUAGCCCGCCAAGCCCAGGAAGCCACGCACUGCCCGGGCGGAACGGGGACGGGGCCACUCAUGGAUGGCCUGGACCUUGGCGGGAUCCAUGGCGACGCCGGCGGCGGAGAUGGUGUGCCCCAAGUAGGCCACGGCGUCCACCCCAAAACAGCACUUGGUGCGUUUGACGAACAACCGGUGCUGCCGCAGGAGCUCGAAGACGAUGCGGAGGUGCCUGAGAUGAUCUGUCUAGGAGACGCUAUAGAUCAAGAUGUCAUCGAAAAAGACUAAGACAAAUCGCCGAAGGUAGGCCCGGAGAACGUCGUUCAUCAGUGCUUGGAACGUGGCCGGGGCGUUGCACAGCCCGAACGGCAUCACCAAAAACUCGUAGAGGCCGUCGUGGGUGCGGAAAGCCAUUUUGUGGACGUCCUCGGGCCGCAUCCGCACCUGGUGAUAGCCGGAGCGCAAAUCAGGCUUGGUGAAGUAGCGCGUGCCGUGAAGCUCGUCGAGGAGCUCGUCCACCACCGGAAUGGGAAAAGCGUCCUUGACGGUGAGCGCGUUGAGGGCGCGGUAGUCGACGCAGAAUCUCCAUGAGCCAUCGGCCUUGUGGACAAGGAGAGCCGGGGAUGAAAACGGCGAGUUACUGCGACGGACGACGCCCUGCUCCAGCAUCGCGGCGCACUGGCGUUCCAGUUCAUCUUUGUGCGCGGCCGGAUAACGGUACGGCCGUACCGCGACAGGGGCGGAGCCUGGCUUGAGGAUGAUGGCGUGGUCCCGUGUACGCGGCGGGGGAAGGCCGGAUGGUGCGGCGAAGAUGUCCUCGUAGGCGGCCAGGAGCUCGUCCAGGAGCGUCCCACUGGCCGCGGCGAUGGUACGUAGGCUGGCCGCGGCGGAUGACGGUAUGCCUGUCCAAGUGAUGGUUCGGCCGUCGAGCUGGAAGGACAUGGCACGCUCGGCAAAGUUCCACACGAUGUCGCCGAGCGUUCGCAUCCAGCAGGUACCCAGCACCACUUCGUACCCUGCAGGUGGCAUAACAAAGAGAUCGGUGUGGAAGGCGGUGCCGUUGAUGGAGAAGGGUGCGUUCCUGAUGACGCCCGGGCAGGCCACGCGCUCGCCGUUGGCGACCGUGGCUGUCAAACGGGGGCGAUCCUGGAUCGGUAAGCCAGUGAGGCGCGUCGCGUCCUCGCUGAUGAAGCUGUGCGUGGAGCCACUGUCGAGCAGCGCGAGGAGGGAGGCCGCCCCCACCGUCGUCGUGAUCUGGAUGGUGUCUGAGACGGGCACGCCAGCGACCGCAUGCAUGGAGUAGCACGACGCGUCGGCAGCAGGGUCCUCUGCGGUGGCGUCCGCUAUGGCCACAGGAUCGUCCGCGGCAUCGAUCUCCACCCCAUCCACGAAGAAGAGCCUCUUGCAGAAGCGAUUGUGACCCCUGGUGUAUGGUUCAUUGCAGUUGAAGCAGAGUCCUUGAUGGCGUCGUUCCGCCAUCUCGGCCGGGGACAGCCGACGUUGAGGGCCCUCUCCUCGGCCCUGCGGCGCGGCCUCUGGGGGUGCCGGCAGGGCCAGCGGUUGCUGGGGCGCCGGCAGUGCCGGACGCGGCGCUGGUGCGGCCAGCAGGCCACGCGCGGGUGCCCUGGUAGGAGGUGGUGCCGGCCGGGAUAGCUCCAUCAACUCCACCUGACGGGCCAGACUCAUAGCUUCGGCGAGGGUGGUUGGGUGAUGAAGGCGGACAGCGUGGCUCAGCGGCGGCAGAAGGCCACCCGUGUAAAGCUGAACACGCUGGUCCUCUUUGAGGCGUCCCGCUCGGGGCAAGAGGGCCUGGAACCGAUUGGAGUAGUCGUCGACGGUGUCCGUACGCCGGCAUUCGGCGAGCUCGAACAUUGGCGCGGAGCGGAGAGGGGGGCCAAAUCGUAGAUGCAGGAGGUCCUUGAAGUUGGUCCAGUUUGGCGUGCCCUCGUCCGUCUGCAGCUGGAUGAACCAAAGCUGCGCGACGUCGUCGAGGUGAUAGGAUGCCAUGGAAACGCGGUCGUCCACCGGGGUUCGGUGUUGACGGAAGUAGGCGUCGCAUUUGUUGAUGAAGAGGAGCGGAUCCGUCGUGCCGUCGAAGCGGGGAAAAUCCCACUUCUUGUGCUUCGGGUGAAAGUCCUGCUCGUGAGGGCCCCUUGGACGGCGAGCGUCGUCGCUGCCGGAAGAGGAGGCGAACUUCUCCUUCAUGGAGGCCAUGUCGGCUUUGAGGACCAGCAGCUCGGCGGACAUGGACUUCAUCUCAGCGAAGAGGUCGGCGAGCGUGGGUUCGGCCAUGGUGGAGCGUAGGGUGGACGAGGCCGAGGUUGCUGGGGAUGGCGGCGGCGGCUGUGAUGGGGCUGCGUCGGCGGCGGAAGUGGAUUGGGAGGAGUUUAGAUAAAUGAUCUUGCUUGCUUUAUUCCCAAAGUCCUUCUCUGAUACAUAUAGCCCAUCGGCUGAGAUUAGAAGGAAAGCAACUAAUCCUUUCCUAUAAUCUAGGAUCUAAUCAAAUCUCCCAACCAAUCUUUCCUAACUCAGCCUAGCCCCUGGCCGUGGCCUGGCCGUCGCGCGUGUCGAGCUGGGCGUGCUCUGCGCGCUCCUCAGCCCUUCUCACGUCACGGCUGCGCCUGCGGCGUACAUAAGAUUGGCCCCACAUGACAAUAGUCCUAUAGACUAUAUUGUAGGUUGUAGCUUUUGGAUUUUGGCCACUAUAAUUUGAACACCAGGAUUUGGCCCUAGUCUUGGUUAAAUCCUGGGCCCGCCACUGCAUGCGUGCUAAUAUAUUUCAUUUUGAUAUAGGAAUUUAUCAAAGCCAAGUAUGUCUUGUAGACACUAAAUCUGGUUCCUCCUGGAUCUUCAAAAUGGGCUUAUGGUUUGUGCUAUUUUUUUGACAUGUUGUUUGCUUCUGCAUGCAAGAAAAGGUGAGGAAUCUGGAGCACAAGAUUAAAGGGGAAGGUACAUGCUCAGGAACCUAGUAUGUUACUAAGUUUAGCUCCUAGGAUAUUAGCUCCAAGUGGCAUCAGUAUAGGAUAUUAGCUCAAAGCCCUUCAUGCAUAUCUCUAUUGUACAGAUAUAAUGGUACUAAAUUUUUAUUGACCUGAAUAUAUUAUUGUAUAUUGUAUAAUGAAAUCAUUUGACAGUUUUUAUUUAUGGGAUGUAAAUCCAAAUGGUCUCUAUGAUUUAUAUGUGACAUCUGCAUGAAUUGAGAUGCAUGUGUAUAUGAUUGGAAUGCACGGUGGUAAGCCAGAGAUACAUGUAUCUAUGUGCAGUGUAAUAAAAUGUUUAUAUGGAUGUCAUCAUUGUCAACUCAGUUUGCCAACUAGAAUACUAAAAUUUAUAUAUUAUUGGAAGACUUUUUGUUGCUCAUAUGCAUUUUCUUGAGGGCUAGCCUCCAAGGAAGUCGAAUUAUUAAGCCUAAUUAAUCCAUCAUUAGCACAUGUUGGUUACUGUAGCAACUAUGACUAAUCAUGGACUAAUUAGGUAUAAAAGAUUUAUCUCGCUAUUUUACACCCAAACUGUGCAAUUAGGUUUUAUCUACAUGUAAUGUUUCAUGCAUAUGUUGAAAGAUUCGAUAGGAUAGGUCUAAGCAAGGCCUAAGUAACAGAUAAAGUAAAACAAUAGCUUCUAGCUAGUAGGAAGAGAAAAUAGAUAGCAGCUGCCAUGACUUAUUAGCAUUGUGGGUGGAAUUGGCCAAUGGUAGGAGCACUUACCACUCAAAUCGGGGAACCAAGCAAGGCAAUGGAGGAAUAGGAGUCGCUUGAGGUAUGAAGAGAAGUCAGUGCUGGUUCAAUGGUUGUGCAGUCUGGCCUAUGCCGAUUGCUGAGUUAGUAUUGAUGCAUGAUGACGUGCAGAUGACGAAGACGAGGAGACGGGGUGAUGUUUGCUGUCACUGAGCGGCAGAGGUUUGAUGUUUUGACUUGUGAAUCGCUGGGUACUUGGUUGAGGGAUACGAGGUGGGGGCCUAUGCUUUUUGGGGGCUAGGUUCGAUCGCCCACCUCGCACAUGCCUAUCGAUGGCCCUAAGAGGGAGGGGUAGAUUGGGAACGAUGGAAGAGGGGAGGGUUUUUCAGUAAAAAAACGUAGAGACACUUAUGCGUGGAUCCCCCACAACACAAGAGAUUAUUAUGGAGAUAGAUAAGUAAAAGUGUUUUAAAAUUGAUUUCUUCAACUUAGAUUGAAAUAGUUUGUAUAAUAUUUAGCUUCGCUACAUAUUUUCAUAUUUAAUGUUUGCACAUUUAUAUGGACUUCACCUUUUUUAUUACCUGAACAGGAGGUCUUACAAGGUCAUUAUGUUUGUCAAUAUGAUGAAAUUAAAAAGAAUGUAUGUGUACAUAUAUAUUGUCUUAAACGAUCACUACCGCACUCUGGUGCUUUAUCGAGUACCACUGGCUCUGGGAUUCGAACCCGUGACCUCUCUAUCAUGUGUCUCCCUCCCUAUUCUCUAACCACUACACCGUACCGUCACUUAUGUCUAUACUGUAUUUCGGUUUCUCAUAUUAUACUAAACCAUAUAUAAAUUAAUUGUUUGAGACUCUAAGCUAUUUUAAAUCAAAGUUGACACUACCAAGUUUCAUAACUUUUUGGGAUCUACAAUUCUCAUUUAGGAAGUUUCUCCAUCUGAGGCCUUUUAUAAAAUUUGAAUUUCAAAUUUAAGAAAUUCAAACGUAGUAAGAAAUUCAAACGUAGUUUUGACAUGACAAAAAUAUUUUAAAUUAAAAGGUUGUCAACUAUAAAGUUUCAUAACUUUUUAAGAUCUACAAAGUUUAUUUAGAGAGUUUUUUCAUCCGGGGAUUGUUUGAAAAUUUUGAAUUUUAAAAUUUUCAAAUAAAGACGCAAUUUUGCAUGACAAGAUGAGCUCAAAUGAAAUAUUCGCCAACUACAAAAUUUCAUAACUUCUCAAGAUCUACAAAGUUUAUUUUGGUUGUUUGUUUAUUUGUUCAUAUGAUAUGGUGAUUCUAACAUUUUUUACAAAACUUAUAUAACUAUAAGAGAGAUGCAAAUUUAUGAAUAUUUAUUUUUACUUUGUCAAAUGAAGAAAUAACAAAAAUUAAGGUUGUAGAUCUUGAGAAGUUAUACGACUUUGUAGUUGAUUUUUUUUAUUCAAAUUCGUUUAGGACUUCAAAAUUCGAUUUGAAAUUUUCUUUACCGAGUGUCAAAAGGACACACGACAAAGACCUUCUUUGCUGAGUGUUUUUCUUGACAAUCAGCAAAGAAGCCUCUCUUUGUCAAGUGCUUGUUUUUGUCGAAUUUUUUUUUUUGCACUUGGCAAAAGAGCUUGUUUACUGAGAGGUAAAUUAUUUGAAACUGCAAAGAGCCGAAUUCUAGUAGUGGAUGUUACUCCUACAUUACAGUGCUGGCAUGUGUAUUGUCUUCUUGAGUUCUUGGUCUCUAAAAGUUUUGUAGACCGCCGGGCCCAGCAGCGCAAUCUAUAUUUCAAGAAACGGGGUUCAUUUUCAAUCAAAAGGAGACCAAGCUCUUUUUUUUUUCUCCGAUUUACUCGUACACUGUGUAUUCGGCACCCCGUCCAACAACACUGCGCAGAACAGAUCUAGUUUAGAGUGAAAAGCACUUCAUUCUCAAAAAAGCACUGCCACACGUUCGGGCAUUAGCACCGGUCGGGAAGGGCCUGUUGCCCCGGUUCCCGAGCCGGUGCUGCCCUUCCGGGACUAAAGGCCCACCCUUUAGUCCCGGUUCGGGAAACCGGGGCUAAAGCACCCCCUUUAACACCGGUUGGUAACACCAACCGGUGUUAAAGGGUCCUGCCAGGGCUGCCACGUUGCAGGACCCUUUAACACCGGUUGGUAUUACCAACCGGUGUUAAAGGGUUUCUUUUUCUUUUUUUUGGUUCACUUCUUCGGUUCUGUUUAUUGUUUAUAUAUAAUAUAUAAUAAUAGGUUUUUCAAUACAUGUUUUGCUGAUACAAUAUUAUAUUUAUAUUACACGCAUACUAAGCAUAUAUAAAUGAAAAUUAUAGGCUUAGCUUAAUAAUUAAGCUUUGCCUAUAAUAAAAUGAAUAGACCACAUCAAAAAUUAAAUAGAUAUGUAAAAAGCUUUAUAUAUAUAUAUAUAUAGUUUUAUAUGUACAAAAUUCGUAACACAUAUAUACAUAGAGUUUUUUCUCCCAAUGUUUACAAACGAUACAAAUGAUCAUCGUUGUUUGGAAUAAGAGUUUCGUUGCCGUUGAAGUGAAACUCGCCGUUUGGAUUGAUCACUUGGUCGCGGAGAAAUCCUGCUAUCGUCUCUUGGAUAGCUUUGAUUCGGUCUUGUUGUAGGACCUUUUCCCUCAGCCAUUCCGUCUUUAAUUUGAAAUAAAUAAAAAAGAUAUUAGUUAUCUAAGUUAUUCAAUAUAAUUCAGGAGAUAAUGAAAAGAGACAUGUAACGUACUCUGAGCGUCUCUGUGGGUGUUUGAUUGACUUGUGCCAUCAUGAAUUUGCACACGUAAUAUGCACAUAGAUUGUUCCCCCUUCUUGUCUUAAACACCACUGUACGAUAUAUAUAUAAAAAUAUUCACGACCACGACAAUAAGAAGGCUAAAAGUUAGCGAAAUUUUGUUAGCUAGUAGAACUUACUUGUGGAUGUAUUAUGUUAAGCGGCGCUUUACAUCCACUGAGAUGUUCACGGUCAAUGAAUCUUUCCCAAACCCUAUACACAGCCAUUGUAUAUUGUGAACUAAUAAUUACAGAGUCAUAUUAUGAUAUUUUUGUAGCUGAGAUCGACAUUACGUACCUUUGAAUAAUGUUUACCAUUUGUUGAUAAUUUUCUUGUGGUUUUCUCAUUGAGUCAAAGAUUAUCAACCGGUUCUUGGGAAUUUCAAUGACCAUGAGUAUCCAGUGAAAGCUGUUUACACACACAUAUAUAUAUAGUCAGUCCUAUAAUGUAAAAUAAAAUAUGCAUGCACUUAAUAACUAUAUAACUCACUCGAAGUUGAAGGGGAAGAGUAUUUUUUGUUUUUCUUUUUGGUUCACAAAGAACCUCAUAAGAUUGGUGCAGACUUCUGUCUCAUGAUCUGCUGUCCACACUGCCUGCGGAGCCUUGAAAACAAUAUAAGGGUCAACGAACCCAAUACUAUUGUCAUUUCUCAUUCUGAGCUCUCUCAUUUGGUGCCUGCAUAUAUACAUACAAAUACUAAGUGUGUAAGGAUUAUAUACAUGUAAUUAAAGAAGUUAGAAGUAUAAUAAAAAGAAAAAAAUACUUACAGACAAAAGCAGCUGACAAGAGAUUUGUCAAGAGCGUCGAGGUGGCAUAAUUGGUGCAAUUCUUCGAACUGCACGUAUAUGAGGUCAUCUCCACGGAAGUAGUGAUGUUGUCUAAUACGAACAGAAAUCCAAUUAUCUCCCCUUUUAGACGCCUCAAUGCACCAUUUGUUUAUUGCAAACAUUUGUGUGCCGAGCUCGUGUAAACGCUUAGGAUCGAAUAAACUCCUGCCCGGUUCAUAUCUUGCCCUCCAUUGAUCAACUACCUCGGCUUUUUCAAAUGUUUGGCAUCCAAGAAUGGCGGCAAUUUCUUCCAUAUUUAAACCGCUCUGUCCAAAGUAACGCUCAAGCGAGUCUAGCUCAGACAACGCUAAGGAUUUCUUUGGCAUCAAGUCUUCAUUUGAGCCGUAUUGAUUUGGCACAAUCAAAGGGGGCACCGGUUUUGAUACUUCUCCGAGCUGUGGGACCCCUUUUCCUACUCUCUUCUUAGUAGGCUGUGAAGACUUGACCAGAGACCGCUCAUAGUCCGAAAGUGCUGGCUUUUUCUGAGCUUCGCGUUGCUUCUUUUGAUGGUCCGCCACCUUCUGCCUCAGUUCUGAUGGCUUCACAUAAAAGUAUGGCUUUUCUGGGUUAAGCCGUUUUUUCCUUUCCUCCUUUAUUUUAUCAAAAAAUUGUUGGACCUCAGCUUUAGAUGUAGCAAUUACCUCCUCUUCACUCUUUUCGUAAGGUAAUUUUUCUGGCGUCUUAGCUCUCUUUGCUGAGGCAGCCUUCUUUGGAGGUGGGACCGAUGACUUCGGUCCUUCUUGGGCAGACCGCUUCUUACUACCUCGCUUUGGAGGCGAGGGGACCGACCGUGCACUCUUUGGAGAGGGCGGUGCAGGCGGUGGAGGGGGUGGGGCCGAUCUUUUUGGCGUUGGAGAACGCGGUGGAGGAGUUGGAGAACGCGGUGGAGGAGUUGGAGACCUCGGUGGAGGAGGUGGAGACCGUGGUGGAGGCGGUGGCGGGGUCGGUGUGGCCGCCGCAGGUGUUGGAGGAGAUCCAGCAUUGUCACCGCCCGCAGCACUAUGAUGCGCUGGGGAGAGAACUGGACUUAGGUUGGAGGAGUCCCUGCAAAGAAAAGAAUUACAAGUUUUGUGAGUAAACUUUUUUUAAAUUUCAAUACAUAAUAAAUAAUAUAAGAAGUAAAAUCACACACAAACCUAUGCUGAGAAAUAAUUAUGAAGCGCUUGCGCCAACAAAUAAAUGUCUUCUCAGCUUCACCUAAGGUCUUCUCUCCGUCUCCCCCUUCUAUGUCUAGUGGCACAUUGCCACAACCUUUCUCAACCCUAUCAACCGAGACGCUAGCAUAUCCACCAGGUACUGGUCGAUUAUGGAUUCUUGGAGUGCCCGUUCGGUCGAUAGGGUUGACAACAGCGAUAGCCACCUUUUUGGUGGCAUUCCCAUCUGGUACAUGCAGCUCACAGGUAGUAAAAGCCUCUGUGACAUCAUCCACGGGGAAGUGUAGCUUCGUGUCAUCCUGAAUGGUUGGUACUUCCGUGGAUGCGCAGCUGCUUUUCAACUGGCCUGGGGGGCUAACAUUGACCUCAGGCUGUGAUGUACCUUGCCCUUUCGUCAUUUGACUAAGUGCUGCUUGCACUUGCCUUUGAAUCUCUGCCUGCAUCCAUUCUUCACGAGCUUUCUCGCGCUCUUGUGACUGCAGAACAAAAGCUUCCAGGCGGCGGAUCCGCUCUGCCUCCUCAUCCUUCUUUCUCUGGCGGCUUCUGUAGGUAUCUUGAUCGGCUUGGAAUGAUUGCAGCCACGGAACUGCCCCAUAGCCUCUCGUACGCCCACCGUGCUCAGGAUUUUCAAGCGCAUAGGUGAGUUCAUCCUUCUCCCUGUUAGGCCUGAACUCACCAGACUGAACCGCCUCUCGUGCACGGACUAGUCUCUCUGCUGCUCUAGAGAUUUCUUGGCCCCAAACUAGCGCCCCGGUGUCUGGGUCCACGCUUCCUCCAUGACCGUAGAACCAAUGCUUGGAGCGCUCGCUCCAAUUCUUUGCUAUUGUCUCUGGUGUGACCCCCCUAGCAAGCAUCUCCUGUUCCAUUCGGUCCCACUUGGGAACAACACUCUUAUAACCACCUGAUCCCAUAUGAUGGUGGUAUGCCUUUUUACUGGUAUUCUCUUUGUUUCUAUUGGCUCGUUCCUCGCCCUCUUCUGAUGUUUUGUACUGCACAAAGUCAUCCCAGAAGGCCCUCAGCUUUACAUAUUGCUUGAGGUUGAAAUCUGGAGUCUCGUUUUUCUUGACAUAUUUAUUAUACAAAGACUUCUUCCAAUUCUGGAAGAGUACUGCCAUCUUCUUCAUAGUCCAGUCAUAAAUUCGCACCUUCAACUCUUCAUCGUUGGUGUCGAAGGUGAAAACGUCUGUGACGGCUUUCCAAACUAACUCCUUGUCACGAUCGGAGACAAAACUGAUCUCAGGAGCACCUCGCUUCUCUCUCCAUUCACGACAACUGAUCGGUAUUUGAUCUCUUACAAGAUAUCCACAGUGACUAACAUAUUUAUUUGCAUGCUCACCAAGUGGUCUGCCUGUAGCUAUCUCAAACUCAGAGAUUACAUAGCGGCCCUCCAACGGCUUCUUUGGCCCUCGUGGAGGUACGCUUCUCCCCGUAGAGGUCGAUCCAGAAGGCUACACGUACAUAUAGAAACAAAAAUACUAAAUUAAUAACCAAGUAAUAAGUCUAAAACCUAAUGUAAGAGAUGCAUUAUUUAUAUAUGUUUACAUUUACAUACCUCGCCAGUAUUUUCUUCUUGUUGCACGACAAGUUGUUGCUCAGGGGCAUUGCCCUCUUGUUGCUCAGGGGCAUUGCCCUCUUGUUGCUUAGUAGGAUUGCCUUGCAUGAUGUCGUGGUAAUCAACAAAGUACUGACUACCGUCGUCGAUCAUAUUUUGAAUGGCAGCUUCCAUAUAAUCAGGAUCAUCAUGAGGACGGUCAGCCAUUUCUAUGUCUGCAACCAUACAUAUAUAUAUAUAUAUAUUCUAUAUAAGAUAAGAAAUACACUAAUACUACUACAAAUGAAAGUGUUGGAGUGCUCUAAAAAUAAUACUAGGAUCUUUUAAGCCAAGUGUGGGGGUAUAAACCCCUAUACCCUUACGGCUAGACUUCAGCCAGGAAGCUUGGCCCAUUACGAGACGAGUUCAAGGCUUGAUCCGACAGCCCGAGUUUCGCGCAAGGAAACAAGACGUGGAGAUCAAGCAGGAUUCUAGUCGGUUAGAAUAGGAAUUGAUAUCGAAUUAUCUAUGGCAAUUGUAACCGGCCAGGAUUAGUUUCUAGAUCUGUAACCCUGCCCUCCAGACUAUAUAAGGAGGGGCAAGGGGACCCCCUGGGACAGAUUAUCUCUCAACACAAUCCAAUACAACCAGACGCAGGACGUAGGUAUUACGCCAACUCGGCGGCCGAACCUGGAUAAAAAGCUUGUCCGUGUCUUGCGUCACCAUCGAGUUCGUAGUUUGCGCACCGUCUACCGAUAAACUACUACCGUGGGUAUACCCCAAGGUAGACUGCCGACCAGCUUUCGUCGACAGUGGCGCGCCAGGUAGGGGGUGUGCGUACAACUCUUCCGGCGAACAAGAUGGUCACGAUCCCAGCUUCGGCGACCGUGCCCGAAGGCCUCACGUUCACCGUCGGCCAGAUCACGUGGACGACGUGCAGCGGCGGUUUCGCGACCACGGUUCCGAAAGAGAUCCAGAUCCAAUCUGAGAUCACGCCGUCUCCGACCACACGCAUGACGGCACCAAGCUCCCGACCACCGUUCCCGCUCUACAAGGGAAAGGAGAUCGACUGCUCGGACCUCCUCCAAGCGCUCGAUCGCGCUGACUCCAAGCUACUUGAAGUCUCCCAACUAAUAGAUGGAGUUCUGCGCCAGCCCGACCAAGCCGCUCGAGCAGAUUUUUCGAAAUUCCGCCGGCCAACUCGUGUCGCCACACACGAACGGCUAGGAACGUCCCUGACGAUAACCUCAACCCCCGCAGGACGAUCCGUCGAGCUCAAAAAGGAAGACUAUCCUUGCGGCCUGAACAACUCGGCCUCUGUUUACUCACAGCAUGUCCAAUCCGUUUUCAGCAAAGCGGGCUGGUCGCCGACAAGGAACAAUCGUCACCAUGUCAACAUGGUGACCAUCCGAGAGCUACGGGACGGCCAGGUGUCCAGCACCAACUCAAGCACCGGCUCCGUCCCCACCGAGGUUGUGAACACCGAAGACGAGGACUACGACCUGGAUUUCCCUUCACACCCUCCGGAUUUCGACCGGUUCCCGAUAUUCCCCCCCCGGCGAGGGGAUAUUGUAUUCAAUGUCAGCGCCGACGAACCGGUUGUUGACGGAGAAACAGACGACCAGAGGCAACUCCGCGAACAGCGUAACGCCGAUCGCGCCCGACGGCGUGCGGACGGGCAACAACAGACGCCACCAGGUAACCUCAACGAUGCCUUUGACAUGGUCGGGGACCAGCAGUUCUACAAAACGCCAAGCGCCAACGUGGCUGUCGCCAUGGCCAACCUGGAUCGGCUUCCUGACACACCCGAAUGCCAGGGAGUCCGAACCAGUAUCCGAGCACACCUGAUCGCCGCGAUGGGACAGACAGCGACUCUGCUCAAGAGAGUCCAGGACGUCUCUUAUACGGAAGCCGCCUCCGACCAGACUCAUCGUAGCCGGGCCUCGCCCAGCAGGCGUCGCCGCAGCCACUCCCCCGACAACCGUCGAGGGGACUCACGGCGCGACGAUGGUGGUCGAGACGCCGAUGACCGCCGCCAGCAGAACCGCGUACGCGGCCAGGAAGAAGAAGAUCAACACAGGGAUCUCCGCCACAACAUCCCUCCCAAAGAUGCCCGGGACCGCAUCAACAGGCGCGCCGCAGAGAGAGCAGUCCACGAAAACCUGCGCCGCAUCGAGUACGAUGCGACCCAUGGUCCUCCGGGCCUAAGGCAGUUCUCCUCACACCUCCGCCAGGUCGUGUGGCCCCGCAAUUUCAAGCUCGAAAAACUUAAAAAAUACGACGGCAAGGAAAAUCCAGAGAACUGGAUCACCCUCUACGAAAUCGCCGUCCGAUCAGCGGCAGGAGAUGAGCAUGUCAUGGCUAACUACUUCCCCGUAGUCCUCGACCAGGCUGGUCAUCAGUGGCUCCUCGGCUUGCCCGAGGACUCCUUCGACUCUUGGGAAGAGCUACGACAGGCUUUCAUCGACAACUUCAUCGCCACAUGCGAGCAGCCCGGAAACAAGUAUGACCUUGAAAGGAUAAGAGACAGGAAGAAUGAACCUCUGCGCGAUUACAUCCGACGAUUCUCGGAUAUGCGUCUCAAAAUCCCGAAGAUUUCUCAUGACGAGGCCAUAUCAGCCUUUAUCAAGGGCUUACGUUUCCAUGAAGCGCUGAGGAACAAGCUGUUGCGUAAGCGUCCAUCAACGGUAGCAGAGCUCCUCGCCACGGCUAAAAAUUAUGCCGAUGCUGAUGACGCAGAAAAACUAAUCCGAGACGAUGCGAGAGGCACCGACCAGCCCUCCCGGCGAGAUGACGGUCGUGGCCGCUACGACAACAGAAAUCACCGCCGCUCCGACAACCGCGAUCACCGAGAGGGUUGGGAUCGGCGGCGCGACAGCCGCGACGACUUCAGAGGAAAGCGCCCUCGCGAAUACGACCACGAAGUAAACACGGUCAAACGUCCCAAUGGACGACGGGACUACCAAGACGACUACAACAAAACGUUGAAGGGACCGUGCCAGCUACACCCAAAGUCUAACCAUACCAUGGAAGAGUGCCGCGUCCUCAAAAAUAUCUAUACACGGCGGGCCGCCCAAGAAGACACCGCCAAGAAAAGUAACAAACGCGACGGGCACGACCACGAAGAUGAGGAUGAGGACCAAGACAGGGACCCCCGACACCAAUACGUCAGCCCCACCGACGUGGUCCACUCCAUUUUCGGGGGCAAGGUCUCCACUGAGUCCAAGCGAGAAAGAAAGCUGUUGAAGAGAGCCUGCCUCAACAUAGACAGCACGGACGGGAUGAUCGCAGAUCCGAAAUUUCCCGCCUGGUCCCACAGGGAGAUCGCGUUCAGCAGGAAGGACCAGUGGGCCGCUAUCCCAGAGCCGGGUCGUUUCCCACUAAUUCUUGAUCCCUGCAUCAAUAGCAUCAGAUUCGAGCGCGUGCUCGUGGACGGGGGAAGCUCCAUUGACAUCCUCUUCCGCAACAGCCUGCCCGCCCUCAAGAUAUCACCGGCGCAACUAAAACCUUACGACGCCCAAUUCUGGGGGGUUCUGCCAGGUCAAAGUUCGGUGCCCCUCGGACAGAUAACAUUGCCUGUCCAAUUCGGCACACCCGAUCACUUCCGGACGGAGUUCAUCAACUUCGUAGUCGCGGACUUCGACGGGACCUACCACGCCAUACUGGGCCGCCCAUCGCUGACAAAGUUCAUGGCAGUCCCGCACUACUCAUACCUAGUGCUUAAGAUGCCCACGGAGAAGGGUGUCCUGACCGUCAGAGGCAACGUCUACACUGCGUACACCUGCGAAGAAGAAAGUUUCAAGAUCACCGAGGCACUUGACCUCUCAAUCCGCAUGGCGGAAACAGCAAACCAAGCCGCACAGCUGCCCCCCGACCAGCUCCGAUUACCUGAGCAGGAGACAGCCAGAAAGAAUUCGAAAUCCAAGGAGUACAAAGAAGUGCAGCUGGUCGAAGGCAACCCCGACAAGACAGCCCUCAUCGGGGCUAACCUGGAUCCAAAAUAGGAAGACGCGCUCGUCAGGUUUCUAAGGGACAACGUGAGCGUUUUCGCAUGGAAACCCGCAGACAUGCCCGGCGUCCCACGAAACCUGAUCGAGCACUCCUUAAACGUCUCGAAGACCGCAAGACCAAUCAAGCAAAAACUGCGACGGUUCGCUCGUGACAAAAAGGAGGCUAUUAGGACAGAAAUAACACGGCUUUUAGCAGCCGGAUUCAUAAAAGAGGUGUAUCAUCCCGAUUGGCUCGCCAAUCCGGUUCUUGUACGCAAAAAGAAUAAUGAAUGGAGAAUGUGCGUUGAUUACACCGAUCUCAACAAACACUGUCCUAAAGAUCCUUUUGGUCUUCCUCGCAUCGACGAGGUGGUCGACUCAACGGCCGGAUGCGAACUCCUCUCCUUUCUAGAUUGCUACUCUGGUUAUCACCAGAUCUCGUUAAAAGAAGAAGAUCAGAUCAAAACAUCCUUCAUCACACCCUUCGGCGCAUACUGUUACACUACCAUGUCUUUCGGACUUAAAAACGCCGGGGCCACUUAUCAAAGGGCCAUCCAGCAAUGCCUCCACGACGAGAUUCGCGAUGACCUCGUCGAGGCCUAUGUGGACGACGUGGUCGUAAAAACAAGGGAUGCGAGCACCCUAAUCGACAACUUAGACCGAACCUUCAAGGCACUCAAUAGGUACAAGUGGAAGCUCAACCCCAAGAAAUGCAUUUUCGGCGUUCCUUCCGGUCUACUGCUCGGCAACGUCGUCAGUUGCGACGGCAUACGACCAAACCCUUCAAAAGUCAAAGCCGUACUCGACAUGCGACCACCGAAGAACGUCAAGGAUAUUCAGAAGCUAACCGGAUGCAUGGCCGCCCUCAGUCGUUUCAUCUCAAGGCUGGGGGAAAAAGGCCUCCCUUUUUUCAAACUAUUGAAAGCGUCAGAAAAAUUCUCCUGGACAGAAGAAGCCGACGCUGCGUUCACUCAGCUUAAGACCUUCCUCACUUCACCGCCUGUCCUCACAGCGCCUCAGCCCAAUGAAGACCUGCUCCUUUACAUUGCUGCAACCGACAGGGUUGUUUCCACGGCAAUAGUGGUCGAGCGAGAUGAACCAGGUCACGUCUUCAAGGUCCAGAGACCCGUUUACUUCAUAAGUGAAGUUUUAAACGAAUCCAAGGCUAGGUACCCACAAAUACAGAAGCUCAUAUACGCCAUCCUGAUAACCUCAAGAAAGCUGAAGCACUACUUCGACGGCCAUCGAGUCCUGGUGACAACCAGCUUUCCUCUCGGGGACAUCCUGCGCAAUAAAGACGCCAAUGGCAGAAUCGUGAAAUGGGCAAUGGAAUUAUAUCCAUUUUCCCUAGAGUUCCAGAGUCGCACCACUGUCAAGUCUCAAGCCCUGGUCGAUUUCAUUGCCGAAUGGACGGAUCUCAACGAGCCUUCUGUUCCAGAUGUCUCAGACCACUGGUCAAUGUUCUUUGAUGGGUCCUUGAACAUCAACGGUGCAGGCGCUGGAGUAGUGUUCGUAUCACCAAACAAGGACAGACUCCGCUACGUCCUUCGGAUCCUUUUUCCGGCGUCAAACAAUGUCGCCGAAUACGAAGCUUGCUUACAUGGCGUACGACUAGCCGUCGAGCUGGGGGUUAAGCGCCUCUAUGUCUACGGCGACUCCGCUUUGGUCAUCAACCAGCUCAACAAGGAGUGGGACGCAACCCACGAGAAGAUGGAUCUCUACUGCAAAGAAAUUCGCAAAUGGGAAACUAACUUCUAUGGCAUAGAGUACAUCCACGUGGUCCGGGAUAAGAACCAAGCAGCAGAUGCGUUGUCAAAGUUAGGCUCGUCUCGGGCCCAAAUCCCGCGGGGUAUUUUCGUCCAGGACAUCCAUGAGCCGAGCGUAAGCUCCCCCUGGUCGACAAGCAACCCACCGAGGCAAUGCUCAUAGAUGACGCCACUCCGACAACCGGUGGGCGCGACUGGCGUAUCCCGUUCAUCAAAUACAUCUCAGACGGGACAGGUUUUCAGGACAAAACAGAGAACGAGCGUCUCAUCCGACGAUCAAAGAACUACAUUCUGGUCGACGGAAAACUCAUGCGGAAAAACGCAAGCUCCGAGGUACUGCUCAAGUGCAUACCCCAAGACGAUGGUAUCAAGCUCUUGGAGGACAUACACGCCGGAUCCUGCGGCAACCACGCCGCAUCUAGAACGCUGGUCGGUAAGGCUUUCCGAGCAGGUUUUUAUUGGCCAACCGCGGUCAGCGACGCAGAAAAACUGGUUCGGCAUUGCGAAGGAUGUCAGUUUUUCGCUAAGAGGACCCACGUACCUGCCCAUGAAAUUCAAACCAUCCCGUCGUCUUGGCCCUUUGCUUGCUGGGGGCUUGACAUGAUCGGACCAUUUAAACCAGCCCCGGGCAACUUCAAGUUUGUCUUCGUGUUAAUCGACAAGUUCUCCAAGUGGAUUGAAUACAUGCCCCUGGUCAAGGCAACUUCCGAGAAGGCUGUGGAGUUCCUCAAUCAAAUCAUACACAGAUUCGGCGUCCCGAACAGCAUAAUCACCGACCUGGCACUCAGUUUACUGGCACCACUUUUUGGGAUUUCUGCGAUGACAGAGGCAUAGUCAUAAAAUAUGUGUCAGUGGCACAUCCACGUGCCAACGGUCAAGUUGAACGAGCUAACGGAAUGAUCGUCGACGCCCUAAAGAAAAGAUUGUACACCGAGAACGACAGUGCACCCGGUCGAUGGAUGAAAGAAUUGCCGGCAGUGGUUUGGGGCCUCCGAACUCAGACCAGUCGAAACACAGGGGUGUCUCCCUAUUUCAUGGUGUACGGCGCAGAGGCGGUUUUGCCGUCCGACAUACACUUCGGAUCUCCUAGAAUCGAGCACUUCGACCAGGCGACCGCUGACAACGCCAGAGAACUCGAAAUCAAUUGCAUGGAGGAAAAGCGUUUAGUUUCAUGUCUCCGAACAGCAAAAUAUCUCGCGGCAGUCAGGCGAUACUACAACAGGAACGUCAAGGACCGUUCCUUCGUGGUCGGUGAUCUGGUGCUUCGAUGGAAAACAAGCCAGGAGGGAAUGCACAAGUUAUCUACUCCCUGGGAAGGACCCUUCGUGGUGACCGAGGUCACACGACCUACGUCCUACAGAUUGACAUACCCAGACGGAACACGAGUACCUAACUCUUGGCACAUCGACAAACUGCGACGUUUCUAUCCAUAAAGUUUUAACGACUUUCUUUUGUAAGUAUCUUAUAAUUUUUGACAAUAAAAUUCUCUGUACCUUGUCAUACACAGCACUCGGCAAAACUCCUGCAAUGGAUGCUCUUGGCGACAACCAAGACAAAUACGGUGACACGUCACUCAGAUAUUUUUUUACAGCGCUCAAAACAACAGUCAUGACAAAAAGAAAACUUUAUUACAAACUUUACAUACAAAGUUUACAAUAAAUACCCUGACGGGCAGAUACUAGUCUAUUCCUACAGACUACUUUAUUGGCCUAGCUGCUCGGGCUGAUCACCCGCCUGGCCCUGCUGCCCGGACGAAGGGGUCGGGGCCACCGGCGCCUGGCUGGUCGAGACCGCAGGCGUCGACCGCCCAUCUCCAGCAAAGGACGCGCCCGACAACUCCCUGGCCGACCUAUCUGAGCUCGGCUGGUCUGGAGGAGUGGCUGUUCCGCACAGGUUGAUGUCGCCGAUCACUGUCGACGACAAGUCCAGCAGACUACCCCGAAGUUCGUCCGCUUCCUGUGGGCCGACUUCCUUCGGGUACCCCUUCUCCAGCCUGCUCAAGUCGACCAGGGGGUAGUGGGCGCGUACCAUGCUAAGGACGUGCGCGCCGGCAAACUCCCCGGCGUCCUUCACAAACUGCUGGAGCCAGUCCCACGCCCGUUGCGCCUUUUGGACCGGGGUCAACUGCGGAGCGCGGGGCUGGCUCUCCGGGAGCUCGGGACUGAUCAGGUCCAGGACCGGGGACACUCCCUUCCAGAUCCUGCAACAGUUGACCUUCCAGGAGUCCCGGUCCUUGACCAGCUCAUCCAGGUGUUUUUUGGCGUUCACCUUGAGCACUGCAAACGAAACGAAACGUUACUUUCGGCAUACCAGACAAGCAAAGGGGCAGGUAGCAACCAACAAGGCGGCACCCAUUACCAGCUAACUCCCGAUCUUUUCGACUUAAUUCCUCUUCCGCUCGCCGUCCGGAUUCCUGUGCACUGGCGAGCUGUUGGCCGAGCUGCUCCUUCUCUUGUUGGAGGCUCGCCACCUCCUCCUCCAAGUCUGCGUGAAUCCUAAACUGGUCAGCGAAGCAAACUAUACAAGUAUGCGAAACUGCUCGGAGCGUGUGACUAACCUUCCUGCAGCCGGUACUGGUCGGCCAGGCGACGAGCAAGGUCGAGACGACGCUCCUUUUCGGUGCUCAUCUCGACCACCUUCUCUCCGACCUCCGCCCGCAACCGGUCUACCUCCGCGGCAAGGGCCUUGUUCUCGGCCAUGACGCCUUCUAUCUGGUCAAAGCACCGUUUCCGGUACUUCGCCGUUUUCAUAACGUCCUACAAAGCAAGCAUAUAACAAUGCGCAGAAGACAAGGCAAAAGAAUGCGCGGCAGCUCAAAACGCCGCUUACCUUGACUUCGUCGACAAGGCGCUUGGCCGCGCGCUCCACCCUGGCGGCCUCUUCGGACUCGGCAAGCUCCUCAUGACCGAUAAAGUGAUCCCCGCGUUGGCGCCACACAUACACGUGUUGGCGGCCAUCACGGGGACGACCCUCGAUCUCUUCUACCUCGUCGUCGGAGGCCACCCUGGUUUCCUCCUCCUGGGCUGCGUCACCCCCGGUGGUGGUCCCAGGCGUCACCGUCCCUUGAACCAGACCUGGGGAGCCCGCAGCCGGAGAGGCUCCUGCUCGGGGCGGCGGGGGGACUUCACUCCCCCCGGCAGGAGGGGCGGUCGGAGACCUUCCCUUCUCCGAGGAGCCAGUUGGGGGAGCCUCCCCAGCCCUGGUCGGGCUGCUUGUUGUAGUCGGCGCCGCGCUCGGGAGCUCCUCGGUGCUCCCAGGCGCGACUGCAGCAGUCGGCUGUUCUGUGGUCUGGGGGGCCGCAUCCCCAGAACCGCGGGCAGGCUCGCCCGUUCCCUGGCCGGCAGUUUGGCCAGGGUCGACAUCCGAUGCCGCACUACAGGAACAAAAGUAAAAAAAAAAAAAAGAAGGAGUCCAAAAUACGUAAGUUGAACACUUACAGGUCUGACCGGCGAUGGGUCGCGGUGAACCUCCUCCUCGCCCGGCCGGUCGGCGCCUGUGCCCCCACCUCGGCAACUUGCGGGGCAGCUGCGCCGCUGGCCACUCGAUCAGUGGCGACCGGUGCAGCGUCUGGGCGGCCCCGAGGCGGUCGGACCAACGACGGCGCAGCCUCCUCCUCGUCGUCGUCGUCGUCGACGAUCCGCACGAGCCGACGACGCUUCGGCGCUUGGCUGCUCUCCGCCGGUAGGUCUGCCGGCAGCUCCGGCGUCGGCAGGGGAUCCACCGGCAAUGGCCUUUUCCCCGCCACCCUCUCCUCGGAGGUCGGGACGGGGCGGGCUCGGUCUUCCUCUGGCGGGACCUCUCCCACAGGAUCUUCCAUCCCCGGUGCCAGUGAUACGUACACUACGCACCGGUCGACAUCACCGACCUGCAAAAGUAACAGAGAUGAGCCAACUACAGACGACAUACGAAUGAUCAAAACGGAGUCUGCUACAUACCUUUGGUGCUGGUCGUCCUAACUUGAAGGCUUGCACCCGAUCACUGCUACGGGUGAAGCCCCCAUCCGCGAAGUUAAACAGCUCGUUCAGCAGCUGUUGAACCUCCGCCUUCUCCAGGAUCUCCGACCGCAUCCUGGUCGGGUCUGUGCUUCCGGCAUACUCAUGCGCCGAGUGCACCCUCUUCUGGCAGGGCAUCACCCGGCGGCAAAUGAAGUUGCCGACCACGCUAAGCCCAUCCAGGCGCGACCAGUCGAUCAGCUUCAUCAGAUCCGCCACUUGACCGUCGAACUCUGGGCGGUCAGUCCAGCUCGCCCUCUUCUCGGGAACGUACCCCACGUCGCAGAACGUGGAGCUGCCCGGUUCCUCCCUGACAUAGAACCACUUCCUGUACCAUUCGGUCAAGGAGGUGUUCCAUGGGCAGUGCAGGUAGCGAUUCUUCAUCCCAUCACGAAGGUUGAGGUAUACUCCACCUGCAACCUUGGAGCCUCCAACUGCUCCCUUCUUCCUCAGACAGAAAAGGUACCGGAAAAGAUCAAAGUGCGGCUCUAUGCCAACAUAGGCCUCGCACAGAUGGAUGAAAGUGGAAAUAAGAAGAAUUGAGUUCGGAUGCAGAUUGCAAAUCCCGAUCUCAUAGUACAAAAGAAGACCUUGAAGAAAGGGAUGAACAGGAACACCAAAGCCUCUCUUGACGAAAUCCUCAAAAACGACGAUCUCACCGGCGCGAGGGUCGGGGUAGCUCUCCCCUUCCGGCGCCCUCCAGCCGCCGAGCUCUGCGCCGUGCAGAAGCCCCAUGUCGACGAGGUCACCAAGAGACUUUGUGGUGCUGCGAGACUUUUUCCACUCCUUGGCCAUCAACUCGGCCCUCUUCCUGGAAUCGCUCUUCGCCAUUAGAGGUGCGAAUGUGAGCUGGAGCUAGGAAAAUGCAGGAGAUUGGAGAAGAUGAGAGCGGAAGAUUUGAAGGCAAUGGCAGAAGAAGCGGUACAGGCGGUCCUAUUAGGCCCUUAUAAACCCGCGACCCCACCUCUCCCACUUCCUGUAUUCUCGGGAAGUGGGCAGGCCAUGCGGCGGACGCGGCGUUUCGGUUUACAAUGAUUAUAGGCAAUUAAUGCGGCGGAGUUUUCGUACCAAUUGAUGGUUUCCUUUUCUCAAACCAUGCAAAGAGCGGUUGUACAGUUGCCAGGUGCGGCUUUUUAUGCAUCCGUCUGACAUAUCGUCAGGAGACCCCGUCAUGUCAACUUUAAUGGGAAAGAUUUUUUCAAAAGUAAGAAGACACAUACACCAUUCGGUCAAGCAAUCCGGGGACUGCACAGACCACCGAGCACUCGAUGCUCGGGGACUGGUCGCCCAGUCAAUCAGCUCGGAACUUCAAGGACUGCACCGACCACCGAGCACUCGACGCUCGGGGACUGGUCGCCCAGUCAAUCAGCUCGGAACUUCAAUGACUGCACCGACCACCGAGCACUCGACGCUCGGGGACUGGUCGCCCAGUCUAUCAGCUCGGCACCUCAAGGACUGCACCGACCACCGAGCAUUCGACGCUCGGGGAUUGGUCGCUCAGUCUAUCAGCUCAAGGCUUUAAAGCAUGCACCGACCACUGAGCACUCGACGCUCGGGGACUGGUCGUGCAGUAUAGAAACAUAUAAUUCCAAGCAGCGCACUAAGUGCCUGGGGACUGGUCGAUUGGUCUUUUCGAUUUGCAGACGAGCAUGACAUGCUCGGGGACUGUUGAAUUCAAUUUUUUAGACCUUGCUACAAGGCUCAUACUUCGCCUUCCAGCAAGCUCGGGGACUACAUCGGUACGAUGCAUCUAGCGAUGCAUCUCAGUCUCAAAACUACUUUGGGGAAUUUUCUCUUGACCCUGGCACCACGUGCCUACGUCACCUACUACCAGGCUCGGGGACUAAGUGGGCACACUUCACCUGGCGGUGAAUUUGCUUGCCUUUUUUGGAUGCUGCUACCUUUCAAAAAGGGCAAAGUGGGCACACUUCACCAGGAAAGAAAUUUUUUUUAGAGCACCAUGCAUUCUUCGAACAACCUGCUUCUUCGAUGACAACGUUGAUCAAUGAACCGUUCGGGCGAUUUCCCCGCUCAUUGAAGACGACAGGCCACGCUGAUCGAAGAAGCUCAAGACGGCGUGUUGCAUCACAAUACAUGGCGCUCGGGGACUAGCUGUGGGGGUAUAAACCCCUAUACCCUUACGGCUAGACUUCAGCCAGGAAGCUUGGCCCAUUACGAGACGAGUUCAAGGCUUGAUCCGACAGCCCGAGUUUCGCGCAAGGAAACAAGACGUGGAGAUCAAGCAGGAUUCUAGUCGGUUAGAAUAGGAAUUGAUAUCGAAUUAUCUAUGGCAAUUGUAACCGGCCAGGAUUAGUUUCUAGAUCUGUAACCCUGCCCUCCAGACUAUAUAAGGAGGGGCAAGGGGACCCCCUGGGACAGAUUAUCUCUCAACACAAUCCAAUACAACCAGACGCAGGACGUAGGUAUUACGCCAACUCGGCGGCCGAACCUGGAUAAAAAGCUUGUCCGUGUCUUGCGUCACCAUCGAGUUCGUAGUUUGCGCACCGUCUACCGAUAAACUACUACCGUGGGUAUACCCCAAGGUAGACUGCCGACCAGCUUUCGUCGACACCAAGUAAUACAUUAAUAAGAAAUACACUACAAUUCAUAAUACACUACAAUUCAAAACACUACAAUUCAUAAUAUACUAGAAUAACAUACUAAAAAGUCUUUUAAGCCAAGUAAUAUACUAGAAUAAUAUACUAAAAUAUAAUACUAAAAAAUAAUACUAUAAUAAUAGUAUAAACUAAUAGUAUAUGUUUUAAGCCAAGUAAUACACUUGCACAUAGAAUAAUGUAUUAAAAAAUUCAUACUACUACAAAUUGAUACAAGAAUAAUAUAAGUGCAUAUAUAUACAUAAUAAGAAAUACACUAGAAUAAUAUAAGUGCUAGAGUGCUCCAAACUAAAAAGUAAUACUAAAAAAAUAAUACGGACAAUAACACUAGAAUAAUAUACUAGCACACAAUAUAUUUCAUAACAAUUCAAAACACUAGCACAAAAUAUAUUUCAUAACAAUUCAAAACACUACAAUUCAUAAUAUACUAGAAUAACAUACUACAAAGUCUUUUAAGCCAAGUAAUAUACUAGAAUAAUAUACUAAAAUAUAAUACUAAAAUAUAAUACUAAAAAAUAAUACUAAAAUAAUAGUAUAAACUAAUAGUAUAUGUUUUAAGCCAAGUAAUACACACUUGCACAUAGAAUAAUGUACUAAAAAAUUAAUACUACUACAAAAUGAUACAAGAAUAAUAUAAGUGCAUAUAUAUACAUAAUAAUACAAAAUAAUAGUAUAUAAACUGUUCGAUAUGAAAUAUAAGUGCAUAUAUAAUGAUACAAAAUAAUAGUACAUAAUUAAGUGCAUAUAAAAUAAUAGUAUAUAUAAAUAAUGAUACAAAAUAUAUUAAUAAUAUAAAAUAAUGAUACAAGAAUAAUAGUAUAUAUAUAUAUACAUACAUACAUAUAUAUAUAUAUAUAUCUUAUAUAUAUAUAUAAGAUAUAUAUAUAUAUAUAUGUAUGUAUAUGUAUAUAUAUAUAUAUAUAAAUUGUUGGUAUUCAUAUAUAUCUAUACAAUUCAUAUAUACAAUUUUAGUCUAUACAUAUAAACUGUUUUGACAUUCAUCCAUAUAUAUAUAUAUACACACGAGCGAUCGAUACAUGAAGAAAUAUACGUAGAUCUGUGGAGAGCCGCUGCAGCGACGCUGGAGAUGAACGGCGGCGCUGGGGAGACAAACGGGCGGCGCUGUAGAUGGCGGCGGCGGCGCUGGAGACGAACGGCGGCGCUGGGAGACGAACGGGCGGCGCUGGACGAUGGCGGCGCGGAGAUCUCUGCUCGACGAAGACGAAGACGAAGGGAACUGCCCAGAUCCAGGGCGCCGGCGGCUUAUAUAGGGGCGGACCCUUUAGCACCGGUUCGUGCCAGGGACCGGUGCUAAAGGGUCCAGCGCGCGCUAGGGCGGGCUUCUGAAAAUAUGUCAGGACCCUUUAGCACCGGUUCCCACUAUGGGCCGGUGCUAAAGGCCCAUUUUUUAGUUUAGGGUUUUUCAAUUGUUUUAUAUAUACAGUUUAUAUUAUAAAUUGUAUAGUAAAUUAAAUAUUUUGCAUAAUAUUUUUAAAACAGUGAUAUAUAUUGUAAUUUGUUUUAAUGUACACAUGAAAAUUUUUUAACUUAAAUAUCUUAUUGUAUUUUUAUAAUUUGCAAUGAUUUUGUAAGAAAUAUUUAGUAUUUUGUUAAUGCAAAAAUAUAUUAUUCCAAUAAAUUUACAAAAACUAUAUCCAAUGAACUGGAAAUUUAUUUUCACAUCAUAUUGACGUAAAACUUUUUAUUUUGUUAUUUAUUACUAGGAAUGCUAGUUGGGUAUAAUUUUCAUCAAAUAAAAAAUCAUAUAAAAAUAUAUAUCUUGAUGAACACACCCUUUGACCGAACCCUAGAUUGUCCCAAAUGGAAAAGUCAUGAAUACAAAGUUUGCUACACUCAUCAAGUUCUACAUUUUGUCUAAUGGUCAACUUUUCAUUUAGAAAAGUUUGAACCACUAAAUUUUGAAUUUUCAUAGAACUCAUAGCCACGCAGCGGUUUCGGAACCCUAGAUGAUCUCGAAUGGAAAAGUCAUGAAUACCAAUAUUGUUCCACUCAUCAAAAUCUACAUUUCAUAUAUAGACCAUUUUUGCAUUUGACAAAGUUUUGGGAAGGUGUAGUUGAAAAUCCACAAUUGACACAUAUAGUUUCAUAUAGUUUGUGUGAGAUUCAAGAAUUGGUGGGUAUUGUUAACUUAGACUUUCUCAAAUGGAAAAGUUGUGUAUAUAAAAAGUUUAGAUCUUGAAGAUAUCUAACAACUUGGUAUUCAAAAUAUUUUCAUUUGAAGUAAUUUAGUUUGUCAUUUGACCAAGUUUGACCAAGUUUGACCAAAACCCGUCUUGUAUUUUAUAGAAAUGUAAUUAGGAUUGGCUCAAAAUUAUCCAAAUGGAAAAAUGGACAAUAUAUAAAAUAUAGAUCUUGAUGAUCUCUAACAACUUUGUAUUCAAACUUUUUUCAUUUCAAGUCAUCAAAUGGGUUAUUUGACCAAGUUUGACCAAAGUCAAAGCAUUGGUUUUUACAAACACACCCUUUGACCGAACCCUAGAUUGUCCCAAAUGGAAAAGUCAUGAAUACAAAGUUUGCUACACUCAUCAAGUUAUACAUUUUGUCUAAUGGUCAACUUUUCAUUUGGAAAAGUUUGAACCACUGAAUUUUGAAUUUUCAUAGAACUCAUAGCCACGCAGCGGUUUCGGAACCCUAGAUGGUCUCGAAUGGAAAAGUCAUGAAUACCAAUAUUGUUCCACUCAUCAAAAUCUACAUUUCAUAUAUAGACCAUUUUUGCAUUUGACAAAGUUUUGGGAAGGUGUAGUUGAAAAUCCACAAUUGACACAUAUAGUUUCAUAUAGUUUGUGUGAGAUUCAAGAAUUGGUGGGUAUUGUUAACUUAGACUUUCUCAAAUGGAAAAGUUGUGUAUAUAAAAAGUUUAGAUCUUGAAGAUAUCUAACAACUUGGUAUUCAAAAUAUUUUCAUUUGAAGUAAUUUAGUUUGUCAUUUGACCAAGUUUGACCAAGUUUGACCAAAACCUGUCUUGGAUUUUAUAGAAAUGUAAUUAGGAUUGGCUCAAAAUUAUCCAAAUGGAAAAAUGAAAAAUAUAUAAAAUAUAGAUCUUGAUGAUCUCUAACAACUUUGUAUUCAAACUUUUUUCAUUUCAAGUCAUCAAAUGGGUUAUUUGACCAAGUUUGACCAAAGUCAAAGCAUUGGUUUUUACAAACACACCCUUUGACCGAACCCUAGAUUGUCCCAAAUGGAAAAGUCAUGAAUACAAAGUUUGCUACACUCAUCAAGUUCUACAUUUUGUCUAAUGGUCAACUUUUCAUUUGGAAAAGUUUGAACCACUAAAUUUUGAAUUUUCAUAGAACUCAUAGCCACGCAGCGGUUUCGGAACCCUAGAUGGUCUCGAAUGGAAAAGUCAUGAAUACCAAUAUUGUUCCACUCAUCAAAAUCUACAUUUCAUAUAUAGACCAUUUUUGUAUUUGACAAAGUUUUGGGAAGGUGUAGUUGAAAAUCCACAAUUGACACAUAUAGUCAUGACAAAUUUUGCAUUUGAUGAUCUCUAACAAUUGGAAAAGUCAUGAAUACAAAGUUUGUUACACACAUCAAAAUUCACAAUUCUCAAAUAUAGUUUCAUACAAAGUCAAGCCGACACAACAGUGAACUUCUUCUUGACGUAUGACCCUUGGUUAUGAUCCUGCCGUAACCAUGGAGUAUCCUCAUUGUUUAACAGAAUGCUUGGGUCUUUGUUGACUAUGAAGGGCGGAAUUCGAUCAUCCCUUUCGUAAUCGCCUGACAUGUCUGACUUGUCCUCAAUUCCGACAAUGUUUCUUUUCCCAGAAAGGACAAUGUGGCGCUUUGGCUCAUUGAUGAUUGAGUGGUCAUCAUUUUUUCCUCUCUUUGGUUUCGUAGACAUAUCUUUGACAUAGAACACCUGACUCACGUCUGCAGGAAGGACGAAUGGUUCGUCUUUGAACCCACUAUUGUUAAGGUCCACGGUUGUCAUCCCAUACUCCUUGUCGACUGUUACCCCACCUCCGGUCAUCUUCACCCAUUGGCACCGAAACAAAGGAACUUUAAAAUUAGCUGCAUAGACUAGUUCCCAUAUGUCUUCUAUGCGUCCAUAAUAUGUUUGUCUGUUCCCAUUUGGAUCCGUGGCAUCCACGCAUACACCACUAUUUUGGUUGGUGCUCCUUUUAUCUUGGCCAACUGUGUAAAAUGUGUUACCAUUUAUCUCGUACCCUUUGUAUGUGAGGACAUGCCAUGAUGGUUGCCUGGCCAACAAAUAAAGCUGCUCAUCAAUGUUUUCAUCACCUUGACAUUUUUUGCGCAACCAAUCGCCAAAAGUUUCCAUGUGCUGACACAUUAUCCAAGCUUCAUUCUUCCCGGGCCACUGGGACCGUAGGAAAUCUUUGUGUACCUCAACAUAUGGUUCCACCAAUGAGGAGUUCUGGAGAACUGUGUAGUGUGCUUUAUUGAAGUAAUCGUCUCCCGUACCAAUAUAUGUUUUCUUCCCAAGUGUUCCCUUUCCGCUGAGUCUGCCCUCGUGUCGAGAUUCAGGAAUGCCAAUUGGGUCAAGGUCUGGAAUAAAGUCAACACAGAACUCUAUGACCUCCUCUGUUCCGUAGCCCUUGGCAAUGCUUCCUUCUGGCCGGGAACGACUAUGGACAUAUUUCUUUAGGACACCCAUGAAUCUCUCGAAGGGGAACAUGUUGUGUAGGAACACAGGACCGAGAAUACGAAUCUCUUUGACCAGAUGAACUAGGAGGUGUGUCAUGAUAUCGAAGAAGGAUGGAGGGAACACCAACUCAAAGCUGACGAGACAUUGAACGACAUCAUUCUGCAGAGUAGCUAGUUGCUCUGGAUGAUUGCCAUCUGAGAAAUUGCAUUGAGGAAUGCACAUAGCUUUACGGUGGCUAGACGUACGUGUGGAGGUAGAAUUCCUCUUAAAACGACCGGCAGCAAUUGCGUCAUUAGAACGUGACAGUCAUGGGACUUCAAGUUCAGGAAUUUCUUCUCUGGCACAUUAAUUAUUCCCUUGAUAUUGGAGGAGAAUCCAGAUGGGACCUUGAUGCUGCUAAGACAUUCAAACAUGCUUUCCUUCUCUUCUUUGCUCAGAGUGUAGCUAGCAGGGCUUAAGUAAUGACGUCCAUCAUCUGUCUUUUCUGGAUGCAGGUUGUCUCGUUCUUUCAUGCGCUGCAAGUCUUGUCGUGCUUCAAGUGAAUCCUUAGACUUCCCGUAGACACCCAUGAAUCCGAGCAAGUUCACACAAAGAUUCUUUGUCAGGUGCAUCACGUCGAUCGCGUUGCGGACCUCUAGGACAUUCCAGUUCAGAAUUCAACCUUUAGCACCGGUUCAGAGCAAAAACCGGUGCUAUAAAUGGGCAGAGGGGAGGAGGGAGCCGGCCUAUAAACCGGACCUUUAGCACCGGUUCAGAGCAAAAACCGGUGCUAAAGGCUUACCUUUUAGCACCGGUUUGUAACACAAACCGGUGCUAAAGGGUUUGCCUCGGCCCGUGGCUCUGGCCGGUGCUAAAGGGACCCCUUUAGCACCGGUUCUUGUUAAAAACCGGUGCUAAAGGGUCCCUGCCCCGACAGCACAUGUCAGUAGCCGUUGGGCAGGACCCUUUAGCACCGGUUUGUAACACGAACCGGUGCUAAAGGGGUCUUUAACCCCGGGCCGCAAAAAGGCCGAGGUUUUUGGCCAUUUUGGGCAUCGACCAAUGCCUCAUUCUGUAGUAGUGAAGAAGAAGAAAGAGUGGAGGAGCACUUGGCAUUGGAAUUCAUGAUACUGUUCCCCAUGUACCCUGUACAAAUGGUGUGGACAAGGUUCUCACCAUGUUGGAGGUACACAUAUCUCACUACUAGUGCUCAACAAAGCUCCUUUAUACUAUUACACAGUGAAGCAGUGAGAAGAAAACAUAGCGCUAGCUUAGGCCGGCAUAUGACUGCGUGAGAGGAGAAUAUAACAACAGCAUUCCAUUUCUCUUUUUCUUUUUCAGCUUAGCUUCUUUCUCGAAAGCAGCUCCAUACAAGGACACGGUACAGGACAAGAGACUCCAAACGUAUCAUGCACUAUGCUUUGCCAUGCAUCAUGCUACGGGUACAUAUGAUGAUAUAGCUAGAGGUACCCUAGCUAGCUAGCCUUGUGACAUCCAGCUCGAUCUCGAUCUUUUAUCUGAACGUUACAAGAUCGCGGGCAUUUGACGGCAUACAACGAUUUUUACUAAUCAGGCUAACUUGCACCUUAGCUUACCAAUAACUAGCUAAAAACUACUACUGCAAACUGGAUCGAUCGAGUACACUAAUCUGCCGUAAUAAGUGGCGGCAUGCACACACGGCCAGAGCCAUAUAUAGCUAGCGCGCCGUCACAGGCCGUGGCGGCCGCCGUGGUGCCUGCGGUGGUGGUGGCGGAGGAAGAAGUUGAUCAUGGGCGACGGAGCCGGAGCCGGGGCCGGCACCGGAGGGAAGAGGAGCCCGCCGGCGGUGGCAUUGAACGCCGUCGCCGGUGUCAUGGCGGAGGGUGCCGUGGCCAUUGGUGGCGGAGGCGUGAAGGCCGGAGCCGCCGGCGGGGCAGUGAGGUGCGGCGGGCAUUGGUAGCACUUGGCGAAGAGGCCGAAGGUGUUGACCUGCUGCACGAAGUUGGUUAUGCUUGCCCAGCCGCCGAAGCCGAAGCCGACCACCAGCACCCACGCCACCACGAAGGAGUUGAUCACGUACGCGCCCGUCCACCCGCCGGCGAACCUCGGAGGCCGCUCCACAGCGUUCUGCAGUUAAUUAUACAUCAUAUAUAAUGGGCAAAAUGAAAUGAAAUGAAAUAGCUUUUCUCUUUUAGGAAGAAAAAGAAGACAUAUAUAAUGAGGUAUCCAUGCAUCCUAGCUACUGAUGUCAAAGUGAGGUGUGUCUUUGGAUCGAUGUGACUGCUGAGAGCUCAGCAGAGGCUCUCUCAAGUGUGUGUUGCUUCCACCACUGCUUCUUUUUGUUGUUUCUCACACAUGGUGGAGAGGAGCUAGCGCCUGCUUCAUGCAUUCAUGCCAAGAGCUCCCAGACACCACAAGGUACAAAGGCUCAUGCUCGUCUCUGCCACACCCUCUUGUGUUGUGCGCGGCUUUCCAGUACGCUAGCUGGUUUUAUUAUUAUCACCACACACACCACUUGUGCGCUGAAAAAGGGAAUUGCGUGCUGUCGUCGCAGCAGUUUUGUCUUGCCUUCAGUGACACGACGCUGACUGCACCAGUAUAUAUGUACUAGAAAUGCAUAAGUAUAUUCUACUCUAGUACUAGCUUGUUAUAUACCAGUACUCAUACCCUCAUAUAUGAUAUGGCACGACCACCCAUGGCUUAUUUGUAAGUAUGUAUAGCUAGAUCGUCGAUCUGUGGAUGGAUGUUACGAUCGAGAUCUCGCUACAGGUUUGCAUGGACUCCAAUCAGUGUGUGCUGUACAAGUAGUAAGACAAGUCAUGCAUGGCCACCGACGCGCCUCACCAUGCAUUCAGUCUAGCUAGCUAGCUCAUCGAUGAUUGGUCGGGUUGCGCAUACAGCAGCAGCUAACCCAGGUUAUGGACAGGGUGGGCCGUAUGUGUUUUCUAGUAGCUAGAAAAUCUGAGCAAACUGCAUGCAGACAGUUUUAGCUGUCCUACUACUAACAUCGACAAUGCAUGGCGACUGCAACGUUAAGCUGUUGGCGACUGCAUGCAUGCGACAAUGGCGACUAGCUAGCUAUCUGUUUGCAUGGACCCCAGUGUAGCCAUGCACGUCCAAGAAACUGUCGCGUCAAGUUGAUGGCCGAUCGAUCAAGACAGCCCGCAGCAUGGAUGCAUGCAGUUAUGUACUAUAUAUAUACGUAUGUGUAUAUAUAUAUAUCGAGAAAUGGACAAGAAUUAAAGCUGCACAGUGUGUUGUGUGUACUACUAAUACUACUGUAGUACACACAUGCAUGCAUGUCGUGGUGGAGUAUUAGUAUGAAUGAGGCAAUUAAUUAGUACUGUACUAGUAAUAAGCAGCAAAUUAACAAUCCGUAUACGUACCUCCCUGGACUGUGGCGACCUGAAUGUGACCAUGUGCGCGAGCGCCGGUAUGAUGUAGACGGUGAAGCUGACGAGCAGCGAUCCGACGGCGGAGUUGAUGGGCCCGAAGAAGGGGAAGAUGAUGGCGAGGAACCAGAUGGGGACGACGACGGGGAGCCUCGCGGCGGCGCGCUUGCAGAGGCUGCGGCAGUCGUGGAGGCCGAUGAGCUUCUCCCAGACGAAGUAGAGUGGGGUGCAGGCGAAGCCGAAGGUGAUGAACUGGUGGAUGAGCAUGAGCACCACGGCGGCGUCGCGGAACCGGGUCCGAGGGAGCAGCGCCAGCGCGUUGGAGUGCGUCAGCAGCUCGUCGCCGAACGCCCAGUAGGCGGCCGCGGCGGAUGGCAGCGUCAGCGUCAGCACGUACAGCGUCGCCAGCAGGUAGAUGGCCUUGAACUUCUGAGGACGCCACAUCGCGUGCAUGAUCUCGCUGCAGUUAUUAUUAGUAAUCAUUUCAUUUAGCGAAUUAAGCUAGCAAUUAAUAUAUGAUAGUAGUAGGAGUCAAAUAUAGUAUGGCAGGCAGGCAGGCAGGCAUACGUGCUGCAUCUGCUGCAUGGGUCGUCGUCUCGAGAACGAGAAGCAGGCAAGGAGUCAUGGGGCCUCGUGGCAGGGUGGGACCCAUGUGUCGGUCGCAUGCAUGCAUCUCAGUGCUGUGCAUGGGUGUCCAUACGGGACGGACGGAUUGUUGAUCCGUCAGGUCAACUGUGGAUGGAAAGAGCCGCUGGUUGGCCUAACCGCACGCGGAUGAUGCAUGCAACGGUCCUGUCCUUGUUGGGGGUCUGUAACGUAGCACCCAAGUGAGAACCGAGAGCAGCAGCAUGGGCAUGGGCCACACACUAGCUUGCUCAGUCACUGCUCUGUGCUUUGUGCUGUGUCCAUUGUUUGUACUAGCUAGAUAAGCUAGCUAGCUAGCUAGAGGGAACACUACAAAGGCAGCAGCUGCUACAUUAUAUUUCUUUGUUGUGAACGUUCAGUCCUUGAUGUUACAAAAGGAACUAGUACAUCUGAUGAUGCGCGCUACUCCUAUAUAGGUGUAGUAGUGAAUAAUAUAUGACACUAUUAGCUAGUUCUAGCUGAAGAUGCAUGCACGGAUAAUGUUGAAACAAGUACUAGUACUCAACUUGCUAGUACACCACGAGUUGGGUUUGUAGUACUGAUGUGGUUUGGACGGCCCCAAGAUGAAUCGAUCGGCUAGCUAAUUAGAGUAUAACUAUUCUGACGUUUGUCAUUUUUUUAGCACCAUCAUCGAUCGCUUUUAUCUAUCUUUGUCAUGGCCAAUUAAUAUAAUCCCCCAUAUGCAUGCAUGCAUGCAUGUCAGUGGUCCCCCAGAAACACAUGGGGGCCCGCAUCAUUCCCCGCAGCAUGCAUGCAUGUGCCGGUGUGCGGACAAUGUGCCGAGCCGCGAGGGCAGAGCGUGCAGCGUGCGCGCACGGCGCACGCACGUCGCACGCGCGGCAGGCGACCAAAACCAUCGCCAGUGACCGUUGCUUUCUGUUAACUACUGCUAGGAUAUACUACCAUUAGGAGUAAUCAAGAGAUCGACAGAUUAUUAAUUAAUAGUACUAAACUACUACUAAUGAUGUACUGUACUUAAUUAAGCAGCAGAAGCUAGCAAGGCAGCUGAUAUAUAUAUAUAUAUAUAUAUAUAUAUAUAUAUAUAUAUAUAUAUAUAGAGAGAGAGAGAGAGAGAGAGAGCGAGACUGGUAGUAACUGAGAUGAACUAGCUACUCACACUGUGACUGCGUGUCCCCCGAAGGUGUAGAGUAUGUUUGUUGCUCCGGUGAAGUAGAGCACGAUCCUAGUGGGUCCCGAGUGCUGGACGCCCUGGACCUGGCCGUGGACGAGGGAGGCGACGGCGAUGUACCAGGCGGUGUAGGUGGUCAUGACGAGUCCGAGGAAGGACCAGACGCGGUAGUUGUGGAAGGACGGGAUGAAGACGGUGGUGGCGCAGCAGGCGCCGAAGACGUAGGUCCACGUCCGCUUGUCGAGCCGGUCGUUGACGUAGUAGAUGUUGCUGGCGCAGCCGAUGAGCUGGAUGACGGAGCCGAAGAGGAGGAAAGUGCAGUUGAAGGCGAGUCCGGCGUUCCGCCAGUGCCGCCCCAGGAGUCCGUCCAGCACCUCGAACCACUGGAUGACGUGGUUCCGGAAGUCCACCUUGUCGCGCUCACGCCGGGUGCGGUACUCGAGGUACAGGAUGCUGAUCAGGUACGCCGUCCAGCUCCCCAGAAUGCCGUAGAAGAGCUGGAACAGGAUGCCGCUCACCAUCCCCAGCUGCGCGAACGAGUAGGGCAGCGUCAGCAGCACCUGCGCCACCUGGUUCGACGCGCAGCUGAACCACGCGUCGUAGGCCGACCCGCCGUGCCACAGAAGACCCGACAGACGGGACUUGACUCCGCCGCCGCCGCCCUUGGUGGUGGUGUUGUUGCUGCUGUUGUAUUCCUCCUCCUCCUCCGGCUCCAUCGUCAUCAUCUCAGCCGAAUCGGCAGGGGCCUGCUGCUUCUCGUCGGCGAUGCCGCCUCCCGCUGCCAUUGAUGACAAGCUUAAUUAAUUAGCUUGUGUGUGUGUGUGGUGGUGGUGGUGGUGGUGGUGCUCGCUUGGUUGCUUGGUUGCAGCUCUAGCACUAGUGUGUGUUGCGUGGAUUGGAUUGCAGGGGAGGGGGUGGUGUCGUAUAUAUGGAGAGAUCGACGGAGAGGGAGGCGACGGCCCGCGGGGAGACAGCACUCCAGCAGCUGGGGCAUAAAGAAACCCAGCGCCCUUUCUUUUCAUGCCGGGGUCCUUUCUGGGGCUGGGGCUGUACUACUAUUACGUGCAGUGGCUCCUACCGUACCCUCCUCUCUGUUUUAUUUUAUUGUUAAUUAUUAUUGUUUGGGUUCACAGCACAUAUAUAGAAGGAGUAGAAGAAAAAGAAAACGAAAGGAGGAGCGACGAGUGAUCAAAAGACGGGGUGAAAAAAUCUUGUGGAAAAGUAAGGAGGAGAGAGGAGCACUUUGCAUUGCGAUCGAUCGAGCAUAUACGGAAUGAAGAAAGUGUUCUGCCGCCUGGACACAUUAUAAGUGGUGGUGGUCCGGGGCCGCGCCGGGCAAUGUGUGUGCGUGGAGCCAUGGACAUCACUUUUUUGGGGCCGGGAAAGUAUAUGGUGUGCAUCACUUGAGUGAUGUCCCUAAAAGAUCCGACUUAACGUGUUGUCCGUUGGAUGCAUGUUUCAUUUCAUAUAUAGCUUAGAUAUUCUCACCACAUCACCAUCUUUACUUGUUUUUAUUACCACUACAUAUAUAUAUUUAGGAUGCAAGAACUACUUGGAAUAUAUAAGAAAUUAUAUUGAUAAAUGAUUGUUUUCUCUAUAUAUAAUUAUUAUGGUUUGGUACUUCUUGCAUUGCAUUAUUCUACACCAGAGGGAGCAUAUGCAAGCUUCCUUUCUUUUUCUUUUGUCAAAAAAAAAAAUAUGUAAACCGGCCAGACGCCAGCCUAAAAAUCUGCUCACCUCCAACGCAAACCCAUCUUCUCAUCGGCGUCUCCCAUCCUCUCCUGUCUUUGGCAACUCACUAUUGCUAGCUGGGUCUACCAAUCAAAUUUCGGCUCCCAGCUGAUUCAUGUAUGUUAGGAUUCAAGUGUGUAACUUAUAUAUAAUUGGUCCAAUAAUGUCAUCGAAGAAUUGCAUUUCCACAGCCAUGGAUAUCUGACCCAUAUAUAUAUAUAUAUAUAUAUAUAUAUAUAUAUAUAUAUAUAUAUAUAUAUAUAUAUAUAUAUAUAUAUAUAUAUAUAUAUAUAUAUAUAUAUAUAUAUAUAUAUAUAUAUAUAUAUAUAUAUAUAAAUAUAUAUAUAUAUAUAUAAUACUAUCAAAUAUAUAUAUAUAUCUCUCUCUCUCUCUGUCUCUCUCUCUCUAUAUACAUAUAUAUAUAUAUAUAUAUAUAUAUAUAUAUAUAUAUAUAUAUAUAUAUAUAUAUAUAUAUAUAUAUAUAUAUAUAUAUAUAUAUAUAUAUAUAUAUAUAUAUAUAUAUAUAUAUAUAUAUAUAUAUAUUAUAGGACACCGUGUUUGAUCCGCAGUGUAGUGAAAAUCCAUGUGACAGACCAUUGCAUGUAUAUAACUAAUUUCUAGUAAUAAUAUACAACAUUUAUAUAUAACAUUUUUUUUUAAAAAAAGAGCACGCACAAAAAUAAGACAUGAAACAUUCUCUUCAGAACGAAUAUGUCCUGGUACAAUUAAAGGACAUCCUGAUAAAAGCAGCGAUCGAUGGUAUGUACUAGCUAGCUAGUAGAGAUUAAUUUCUUUCUUCCAUAUAGAAAAAGGGUAGUUGCUGCUGCUAAUGUUGUCCCGACUUCGUAUAUUGUAUUGUAUGCUUACUGUAGGUAGGCCGGGUCUCCAAGACAUCCAGCUCCUGCCAUACCAUUAGCAAGCGGAUGGAUGCGGGCUCGGAGGAGCAUGGCUCUUGGAGACCGUACAAAAAAUAAUGCAAAGCGCGGGUGCGUGCGUCCCAUACCCAUACGCGCGCAACGCUGUGAGCCCGCGCGCCCGGCCCCGGCGUGGUCUACGACGCUGCACCUGCGCAUGCACGAGCGGGUGGCCGGGAGCGCUCCUCCGCUCGCCCGCGCGCACUCGGGUCCCGCGACCGCGCUCGCGCCGGCAAGCCGGCCGGCCUCGUGGCCCGCGAUUAGCGUGUUGAUUACAGCGGAUGUUGCUGUCCACUCGGGCCUAAUUAAUUACUCGAUCUGCUUAGUGCUAGUAGUAAUAAACAAUCACUUAAUCGCAUCUGUUGUCUUGUCUGUUUGCCCUUCCCUCCUCCCUCUCUGGCUUUAGUUGGGGGAAUUACGGCAGAGAUCAGGUAGGAAAAGGCUGCUGAUUAUGUCGUCUCAUCUACCUUUACUCGCACGUGAUGAGGCCGCCAACGGUCGGUUUGGGUCAUCAGAUUUGUAUGUUUUCCCUAACCUGAUCGACAUACGCUCGCGUACCAUAUAUCCCAUCUCUUCAGUAUCUUUUUCUUUAUACUAUUUGGAGAAUGUUAUUACAUAUAUAGACACUUAAUCCCUCUUUGUUACCUAUACAUAUUACCAAGUGGUCAAUCCCUUUCUAAGUUUUAACUCACUACUACAUAAAGUUCAUCACCACCAAUUCUAAGACUAGUCUCAAUGCAUGUUUUAUGAGAGUGCCAUGCACAUUAAAUAGGGUGCCACAUAAGCAAAAUUACUGACUUGGUUAUCUAGUUUAAAUAUGGUGCCACAUUAAAUGAAGGAGUUUUAUUAGAUGAGAGAGGAGUUUCAUCCCCAUAAAACUCAUGUGGCUCGGUUACCUAGUUUAUAGUCUUUGUAACUUUGCCAUGAAACUAUGCAGUGAGACUGACCUACCCCCUCCCCCUCUUGGUUAUCGUCAUUGGUGAUGGCCUCGGUGAUCACCGCUGCCACUGGUUCAAAACCGACGGUGGUAAACUUCAUCACUAUCAGAUCGGCAUUCAUCACUAUCAGAUCGGCAUUCAAUCGGUUCAGAUCUAGCGAUGACGAUGCACACGUUAACGUCGAUCAGUCGUACCAUCCAGCAACGAUGAUGGAGACAUCAACGUCGAUCUGGCUUAUGAUCCGAGGUUGAUGUAUGUACCAACAGUCUGAGGUUGUUGUCUGUACCAACGGAGCCGGUCAACGUGUGAUCCGACGGUUUUGAUGACAACAUCAACACCAGCCAAACAUAAUAUCCGGUGGUAUGUCUUGUCCGUCACCGCCACUAUUGAGUUUGAUCCGGUGGUAUUGUCUUGUCCAUCACUAUCGCACUUGACUUUGAUCUGGCGGUGAUGUCUUGUCCAUUACUAUCGCUUUUAAGUUGGAUCCGGCGGUAAUGUCUUGUCCAUCACUAUCAUGCUUGUGCUAUAUUUUUCCAAUAGUGUUGCUACUAUCAUCACCGCCGUUGAUGGUUGAUAACGUCAAUUUUUAUUAGAACUUUUAGGCUCAAAGGAAAACAUGGAAACACAUUUGUCUAGGGUUUAAACUGACAAUUUCCACGAGUUUUGCAUAUUCUGUGAUUUUCAGGGAUUAUUUCAGAAAGUGCUGAAAAGAGGGAUUUAAGUGCUAUUCGACUACGAAACUUAUCCGCGGCGGAAGGACGACACCAGAGGAUUCAGGAACACUCCAGGAGACACCCGACACAACAGGGGAGCCAGCAACUGCCAGGUGGGGCCGGCCGGCCCCACCCUAGCGCCGGCCGGUCCCCUGUGGCUAGGGUUUGCCCCCCCCCUUCCGGAAGCUUCCUCCACCGCCUCUGAGGAGUCAUCUCGGCCGCUUGUUAAGUCAGUUUGAUCCAAGGCGCGCGUGCACUCCACCAGGCUAUAAAUAGAGGGGCAGACCCCCCUCCCAGAGACACCCCAGAUUCAGUUCAUUCCUCCUACUUCAUUUGUCAAGAGUAGUCAGAAGUUAGGGUUUCGAGAGAUUAGAAGUAGAGCUCAAGUUCUUCAAGUUCUUAGUAUAGGCGUCUAGCAAGGUUCAAGUAGAGAUCGGGCGCUCCGCUCGGGAUUUCAGACCUGUCUUCUAGAAAUUUGGUAAUAUUAUCUUGUAUUUCAUUAUGACUUUCCUCUACUUCAAUAUAUUACUAUUUAUUCAGUUCUUAGUUUAUUCUAGUUGCAUAUUCGAUAUAGAUGUGGUUUAUGAUGAUUGUUGUUAUAUGAUCGUAAAGCGCCUCAUUCAGUACUCGAGUGAGCCAGGUGGUGCACAUUAUGUAGAUGUGGUGUCUAGAUAUAUUGUGUACCCACGGAGGCACCCUGAUGUGCCGCGUUGUGUGGUAGUCCGCGUAGGUGACAGCUGCGUUGGUUCCUCUGUAGUCCACCCCCCCCGUACGUAGGACUAGCCAAGCGCGGUCGCGAAGGAGGUGACGGUUGCAUCUUAAAACCCUCAUUAGUUGAUGCUCCUUAUGAUGUUUUCUGAGUUUAUCACACUAUAGAUGAAAAUGUGUAGUAUGGCGUAGGCUGUAGACUUUAUAUUAGUAAUUACAUAGGUUUUUUUAUUUAU
rnacentral:lncRNA from 1 species